rnacentral:rRNA from 1 species
UUCGGGGGCAGAGUGACAGGUGGUGCAUGGUUGUCGUCAGCUCNUGUCGUGAGAUGUUGGGUUAAGUCCCGCAACUAGCGCAACCCUUGAUCUUAGUUGCCAGCAUUCAGUUGGGCACUCUAAGGUGACUGCCGG